CUUGCUGUGAUGGGAUGAUGAGCUGCUUGUGCGUAAAAUCGUAUCCCCUCAGAGUUUGUUCAAGUCCACAAACCUCUGUCUGUGACAGAGCCCCUCAGACAUGGCUACUCUAGUCACUAGCAGAUUCCGACAGUGGUUGCUUUCGUAAUCGCUUCCAACAUAAAAGCUCCUUAACGGAAACACGUCUUCUGGAAUCUCUGCGUGACAGUUUCCGGCGAGGAGUGGGUGUUCUUACAGGAGGUCCUGAAACCUCUCCACUGUUUUCGCUGGAAGUGUCUCUGAGCCAUCCCUCCAGCUCAGCUCCUCUCCCCCUGCUGGUUCCCUCAUCAGCUGCUGCGUCUCUCCCAACCUGUGUGAGCCCUUUCACCUCCCUGUUGGUUUCCUCUUCAGCUGCUGCGUCUCUCCCAACCUGUGUGAGCCCUUUCACCUCCCUUCCGUCCGAUGGCAGUUCCCUGACAUCCACCUCCCCUCCAGGGCCCCCUUCACCCCCUCUCGCCCCCUCCUCUACGGGCGGUGAGGAGGCAAAACCCGGAAUGAACUUCCUUCAUCUUCCGAUGUCUCGAACACUUCUCUCAACCUGUUGCGGUUCCUGGUCUCGAAGUACACCUCCUCCUCAGAGUCCAUCUCCCCUUCCCCUUCCGAGUCCGGGAAUCCUUCCAACUCCUCCCCUUCAUCAGUGGUCCCAAAGUAUUCCCUCCGGAACCUCUCCACAGGCUGAGGUUUCCUUGGGAACCUUUGAUGGAACGUUUCUAUCAAUACCUCGUCAUUGAUAUCUUCAGCCAUUACCCAAGUGUUUUCUGACUCCGGUUCUCCUGCCCACGCUCGCAAAUACUCCACCUGAUCCCCCUUCCACCUGGCGUCGAGGAUUUCUGCCACAUGGCUGCUGCAUUCUCUUUCUUCUACGACCGGUCCCCGAGUGGCCAGCCCUUCUCGUCCCCCUUCGUACGGUGACAGUAACGACCUGUGAAAUACUGGGUGCAGUUUCAUGUGGUUGGGUAACCGGGCCUGAAAGCCACUGGGUUGACCUGUUGAAUGACCUCAAAGGGACCCAACCUCCUG